rnacentral:misc_RNA from 1 species
GCUCCUCCCACCGUCAGUCGUCACACUCUCCAUGCGACCGCGUAUGAUGAAGAGCAUCUCAUCCACUGGAUCGCCUUCCCUCACUAUAUAAGUACUUUCGGUGUACAGCGUCGGUUUUAGCCGUUCACAGAUGGCAUCUAACAAUCGCUCGUCCAUGUUCUCGAAUAAAGGAACCCUUCUGACCAAAGACAGACAAAGGUGUCGUCUGAUGUCCCUUCUGAGGUCCUUCGGGAGGCUCUCGACCAAGUGUUCCUCGUCCACACCUCGCGUUUCCAACCACUUGUACUGAUCA